CGGGGUAAACUAACUCUUUAAUAAGCUCUAUCAUUGAGUCCAUUCCUCCUUCAGUAAUAUUCCAGUCAGAUUUAAUACUCAACAAUCUAACAACAAAAGACAAACGAGAGUGCGAACACCUGUCAAACAAAAGAUGACUAACAACAUGCAAUUGUUCAUAGAAUUUUCCCGCUUCGCUAUUAGGAAUAUGUUCAACAUUUUUUAUAAAGUCGCCCUCGUGUUGCAUCCCAAAAACAUUGUGCACCAUUUCUUUCAUCCUAGUAUCUUGAUAUUUACAGACCUA
rnacentral:lncRNA from 1 species